GGUCCCGCCUGCCCUGUGACAAUGUUUAACGGCCGCGGUAUUUUGACCGUGCGAAGGUAGCGUAAUCACUUGUCUUUUAAAUGAAGACCUGUAUGAAAGGCAUCACGAGAGUUUAACUGUCUCUAUUUUCUAAUCAAUGAAAUUGAUCUUCCCGUGAAGAAGCGGGAAUAUAAUCAUUAGACGAGAAGACCCUAUGGAGCUUCAAACACUUAGAUUAUUUUUUUAAAAAACAUUUUCCCUAAGGGACUAAACCCAAAUUAUAACAUUUUUAAUCUAACUGUUUUUGGUUGGGGUGACCAAGGGGAAAAACAAAUCCCCCUUAUCGAUUGAGUACUAAGUACUUAAAAACUAAAGCGACAGCUUUGGUUAAUAAAACAUUUAUCGAACAAUGACCCAGAAUUAACUGAUCAAUGAACCAAGUUACCCUAGGGAUAACAGCGCAAUCCUUUCCUAGAGUCCCUAUCGCCGAAAGGGUUUACGACCUCGAUGUUGGAUCAGGACAUCCUAAUGGUGCAACCGCUAUUAAGGGCUCGUUUGUUCAACGAUUAAUAGUCCU
rnacentral:rRNA from 1 species